AAUUAUCUUUGGGAUAGGUGUAAUUCCUGACCGGUGGUAAAAGUCCAUGAGCUUUUAUAAAGCAGAUUCGGUGUAAUUCCGAAACCGACGGUAUAGUAAGUCCGGAUGAGAAAAGGUGGUU
rnacentral:ncRNA from 1 species